rnacentral:lncRNA from 1 species
ACAAAACAACGGUUUUUACGAAGUCCCAAAACACUUUAUCAUAUGCCUGUAUCAUAUCAAACUUAAAGUAGUAUCUCCUGCACGAAACUUACUUUUCAAGCAUAACACACUAUUCCUUGUACCAAUAUCACAUUUUCAAUAUGGACCAAUAUUAUUUCACAAAUCCAAACUCAUUGUAAGAGAUAUGUUUGGCAGGAAACCUCUUAACAUAUUAGCCAAUAAUUUGACAGGAUUUUCCUUGUAAAUGAGCAGAGAAUAUUGAUGGACCUUGAGUCUGAAAAGGUGGCAGCGUUCUCGACCUUGGUGAUCAAGAGUCAAGACUACAAUUAUUGGAAGUGUAGAACAUAGAGGCAGCAUUCUCGACCUCCUAACAAUUCUUCUUUUUUCAGGUGUCGUUUUUGUAAGAAUAUUGACAUAAUUAACCCAAGAUCAAAUAUGAUUUUAGGACAAAUCAAUUUUGGAUUAGCAAGAACAGUUGCGUACCUGUUAAUUUGAGCCAUACCAUGGAUUGACGAAGGAUUAGGUCUUCCUCUCUAUUACUCCUUCUCCAAUAUGGUGGCGUAAAUGGAACAACUACCGCACACAAAUGCUCU